GCACCUGAAUCUUUCCCAUUCCUGCUGCUUUGUGCUGGUCUUGGGGACAGAAGGUGCUAUACUAUCAGCAGAGGAUAUCCAGACGGGUUGUUUUCCAUUUACUUGGGGCCUGUCUCUACAACUCUGCCACAUUC
rnacentral:snoRNA from 1 species